GUGAGGAAUAUUGGUCAAUGGGCGAGAGCCUGAACCAGCCAAGUCGCGUGAAGGAAGAAGGAUCUAUGGUUCGUAAACUUCUUUUGCAGGGGAAUAAAGUGCAGGACGUGUCCUGUUUUGUAUGUACCCUGAGAAUAAGGAUCGGCUAACUCCGUGCCAGCAGCCGCGGUAAUACGGAGGAUCCGAGCGUUAUCCGGAUUUAUUGGGUUUAAAGGGUGCGUAGGUGGUUUGAUAAGUCAGCGGUGAAAGUUUGCAGCUUAACUGUAAAAAUGCCGUUGAAACUGUCGGACUUGAGUGUAAAUGAGGUAGGCGGAAUGCGUGGUGUAGCGGUGAAAUGCAUAGAUAUCACGCAGAACUCCGAUUGCGAAGGCAGCUUACUAAGCUACAGCUGACACUGAAGCACGAAAGCGUGGGGAUCAAACAGGAUUAGAUACCCGUGUAGUCC
rnacentral:rRNA from 1 species